ensembl:rRNA 5S_rRNA 5S ribosomal RNA
GCUUACGGCCAUACCACUCUUGAAAAAAGCCUGAUCUCAUCUGACCUCGGAAGCAAAGCAGAGCUGGGCCUGUUAGUACUUGGUUGGGAGACUGAAUGGGAUCUAGGUGCUGUAAGCU